UACGGGGGGAGCAAGCGUUGUUCGGAUUUACUGGGCGUAAAGGGCGCGUAGGCGGUCAGCACAAGUCAGUUGUGAAAUCUCCGGGCUUAACUCGGAAAGGUCAACUGAUACUGUGCGACUAGAGUGCAGAAGGGGCAACUGGAAUUCUCGGUGUAGCGGUGAAAUGCGUAGAUAUCGAGAGGAACACCUGCGGCGAAGGCGGGUUGCUGGGCCGUAACUGACGCUGAGGAGCGAAAGCGUGGGGAGCGAACAGG
rnacentral:rRNA from 1 species